rnacentral:rRNA from 1 species
AGUGAACGCUGGCGGUAGGCCCAACACAUGCAAGUCGAACGGCAGCACAGGAGAGCUUGCUCUCUGGGUGGCGAGUGGCGGACGGGUGAGGAAUACAUCGGAAUCUACUCUGUCGUGGGGGAUAACGUAGGGAAACUUACGCUAAUACCGCAUACGACCUACGGGUGAAAGCAGGGGAUCUUCGGACCUUGCGCGAUUGAAUGAGCCGAUGUCGGAUUAGCUAGUUGGCGGGGUAAAGGCCCACCAAGGCGACGAUCCGUAGCUGGUCUGAGGGGAUGAUCAGCCACACUGGAACUGAGACACGGUCCAGGCUCCUACGGGAGGCAGCAGUGGGGAAUAUUGGACAAUGGGCGCAAGCCUGAUCCAGCCAUACCGCGUGGGAGAAGAAGGCCUUCGGGUUGUAAAGCCCUUUUGUUGGGAAAGAAAUCCAGCUGGCUAAUACCCGGUUGGGAUGACGGUACCCAAAGAAUAAGCACCGGCUAACUUCGUGCCAGCAGCCGCCGUAA